GCAUAACGCGAAGAACCUUACCUACUCUUGACAUCUACGGAAGACUGCAGAGAUGCGGUUGUGCCUUCGGGAACUGUAAGACAGGUGCUGCAUGGCUGUCGUCAGCUCGUGUUGUGAAAUGUUGGGUUAAGUCCCGCAACGAGCGCAACCCUUAUCCUUUGUUGCCAGCGGUUCGGCCGGGAACUCAAAGGAGACUGCCAGUGAUAAACUGGAGGAAGGUGGGGAUGACGUCAAGUCAUCAUGGCCCUUACGAGUAGGGCUACACACGUGCUACAAUGGCGUAUACAAAGAGAAGCGACCUCGCGAGAGCAAGCGGACCUCAUAAAGUACGUCGUAGUCCGGAUUGGAGUCUGCAA
rnacentral:rRNA from 1 species